rnacentral:rRNA from 1 species
ACGCUGGCGGCGUGCCUAAUACAUGCAAGUAGAACGCUGAAGGAGGAGCUUGCUUCUCCGGAUGAGUUGCGAACGGGUGAGUAACGCGUAGGUAACCUGCCUGGUAGCGGGGGAUAACUAUUGGAAACGAUAGCUAAUACCGCAUAAGAGUAGAUGUUGCAUGACAUUUGCUUAAAAGGUGCAAUUGCAUCACUACCAGAUGGACCUGCGUUGUAUUAGCUAGUUGGUGGGGUAACGGCUCACCAAGGCGACGAUACAUAGCCGACCUGAGAGGGUGAUCGGCCACACUGGGACUGAGACACGGCCCAGACUCCUACGGGAGGCAGCAGUAGGGAAUCUUCGGCAAUGGACGGAAGUCUGACCGAGCAACGCCGCGUGAGUGAAGAAGGUUUUCGGAUCGUAAAGCUCUGUUGUAAGAGAAGAACGAGUGUGAGAGUGGAAAGUUCACACUGUGACGGUAUCUUACCAGAAAGGGACGGCUAACUACGUGCCAGCAGCCGCGGUAAUACGUAGGUCCCGAGCGUUGUCCGGAUUUAUUGGGCGUAAAGCGAGCGCAGGCGGUUAGAUAAGUCUGAGGUUAAAGGCUGUGGCUUAACCAUAGUACGCUUUGGAAACUGUUUAACUUGAGUGCAAGAGGGGAGAGUGGAAUUCCAUGUGUAGCGGUGAAAUGCGUAGAUAUAUGGAGGAACACCGGUGGCGAAAGCGGCUCUCUGGCUUGUAACUGACGCUGAGGCUCGAAAGCGUGGGGAGCAAACAGGAUCAGAUACCCUGGUAGUCCACGCCGUAAACGAUGAGUGCUAGGUGUUAGACCCUUUCCGGGGUUUAGUGCCGCAGCUAACGCAUUAAGCACUCCGCCUGGGGAGUACGACCGCAAGGUUGAAACUCAAAGGAAUUGACGGGGGCCCGCACA